rnacentral:rRNA from 1 species
GAGUAACACGUGGGUGAUCUGCCCUGCACUUCGGGAUAAGCCUGGGAAACUGGGUCUAAUACCGGAUAGGACGAUGGUUUGGAUGCCAUUGUGGAAAGUUUUUCGGUGUGGGAUGAGCUCGCGGCCUAUCAGCUUGUUGGUGGGGUAAUGGCCUACCAAGGCGUCGACGGGUAGCCGGCCUGAGAGGGUGUACGGCCACAUUGGGACUGAGAUACGGCCCAG